CUACGGGAGGCAGCAGUGAGGAAUAUUGCACAAUGGGGGGGACCCGGAGGAAGAAACGCCGCGUGGAGGGUGCCUCAUUUCGGUGUUUACCCUCCCCCUAUAUGUCAAGAGGGGGACGGGAGAAGAUGAAUAAGCACCGGCUAACUCCGUGCCAGCAGCCGCGGUAAUACGGAGGGUGCAAGCGUUACUCGGAAUCACUGGGCGUAAAGGACGCGUAGGCGGGUUGGAAAGUCAGGUGUGAAAUCCUACAGCUUAACUGUAGAACUGCACUUGAAACUUCUAAUCUAGAGUAUGGGAAGGGGAGAUGGAAUUAGUGGUGUAGGGGUAAAAUCCGUAGAUAUCACUAGGAAUACCUAAAGCGAAGGCGAUCUCCUGGAACAUUACUGACGCUAAGGCGUGAAAGCGUGGGGAGCAAACAGGAUUAGAUACCCCCGUAGUC
rnacentral:rRNA from 1 species